UCACAAUCACAAUUUCAAUUUCAAAUUUCAUUCAGGUUCAUUCUCUUAUGCUUUGAGGUUGUAGUUUUUGUAUUUUGAUAGUGCGAUUUUUAAAAAAAGUGUGAAAUAGUUAUAAUUUUAUUGUUUGAAAAGCUUUUUAGUGAUAUUUAUUAUAAGCCCAAGAUGUCUCGAUAUCGUGAAUGGGACCUCUCUUGCAAGGUUUACGUGGGUAACCUAGGUACAAAUGCUUCAAAAUAUGAAAUUGAAAAAGUAUUUUCUAAAUAUGGUACCAUCAGGAACGUGUGGGUAGCGAGAAAUCCUCCUGGAUUUGCGUUUGUGGAAUUUGAAGAUCCACGAGACGCUGAAGACGCCGUCCGAGGUUUAGACGGCACACGUUGCUGUGGGACCAGGAUUCGUGUAGAAAUGUCCAGUGGUAGAACGAGAAGAGACCGCAGGUCCAUUUUAUCAACCGACCACCAACACACCGACCUCACCACAUCUCUUCACCACUGCGGCUUCUUUACCGAUAAGACAUCUGCGAUCGCCGCUCGCAACUACACCCCGCCUGGCGAUCGACUCACCAAUCUACAACGCGCAACUGAAGCCUUCGCCAACAGCGUCCCCACAAUCCUCCUAACAGCUAUCACCUAAUCCUGAGCCCCGACAAGCUGGACCCGUUCGUAUCGAGUGCCACAGUAGGAACCUACGUCCUGAAUGUCAUUGCAAACUCCUGAAGCUUCGCGACUGCACACUUGCGUCGUCAACGAGACACCGGGCGCUCCACUCUUGGCGACCGCAAUCCGCUCUCGAAACUCCCGGUUAAAGUCACCAUUUGAAGAUCACAUUGAAACUUGCUCCGCCUCGGUAUACAAACCCCCUUCGGCCUCACAGCAGCCUCACAACGAACGGCGACCAACAAGGCUCACCAAGUCUCGAACGCGAAGCCGUAGUCCCCGCCGGCGAUCUUAUUCGCGCGGUCGAUCAGUUUCGCCACGGCGUUCGCCGUCGGUUCGCCGCCGUUCGCCCUCCGUUCGCCGGUCACGUUCGCGCGACCGUCGCAGCCGAUCCGAUAGCAAGAACAG